rnacentral:rRNA from 1 species
AUGGCCGCGAUGUGUAGGGCCGCCGCGAAGCAGCUCGUCGACCGGGCCGUCGGAUCCAGGGCCGCGCAUACGUCCGCGGGCAGCAAGAAGAUCGUGGGCGUGUUCUACCAGGCCGGCGAGUACGCCGACAAGAACCCCAACUUCGUCGGCUGCGUUGAGGGCGCCCUCGGCAUACGCGACUGGCUCGAGUCCAAGGGGCAUCACUACAUUGUCACCGACGACAAGGAGGGGUUGAACAGCGAGCUGGAGAAGCACAUUGAAGACAUGCAUGUUCUGAUAACCACCCCAUUCCACCCAGCCUAUGUUACUGCAGAGAGGAUCAAGAAGGCAAAGAACCUUGAGCUGCUUCUCACUGCUGGGAUUGGAUCGGACCAUAUUGAUUUGCCAGCUGCUGCUGCUGCAGGCUUGACAGUGGCAGAGGUCACUGGAAGUAACACUGUCUCUGUGGCAGAAGAUGAGCUCAUGCGCAUCUUGAUUCUGCUCAGGAACUUCUUGCCUGGCUACCAACAGGUCGUUAAAGGUGAAUGGAAUGUUGCAGGCAUUGCCCAUAGGGCUUAUGAUCUUGAGGGGAAGACCGUCGGAACUGUCGGGGCAGGUCGUAUUGGCAGGCUCUUACUUCAGCGCCUUAAGCCCUUCAACUGCAACCUGCUCUACCAUGACAGACUUCAGAUUAACCCAGAGCUUGAGAAAGAAAUUGGGGCGAAAUUUGAAGAGGACCUGGAUGCUAUGCUUCCAAAGUGUGAUGUCAUUGUGAUAAACACACCUCUUACUGAGAAAACUAGAGGCAUGUUCAACAAAGAAAAGAUUGCAAAGAUGAAGAAAGGUGUAAUCAUUGUGAAUAACGCUCGGGGAGCAAUCAUGGAUACCCAGGCAGUUGCUGAUGCUUGCUCCAGCGGUCACAUUGCUGGAUAUGGAGGUGAUGUCUGGUUCCCCCAACCCGCACCCAAGGAUCACCCAUGGCGCUACAUGCCUAAUCAUGCAAUGACCCCUCACAUCUCUGGGACUACAAUUGAUGCACAGCUGAGGUACGCGGCUGGAGUGAAGGACAUGUUGGAUAGGUACUUCAAGGGCGAGGACUUCCCCGCGGAGAACUACAUCGUCAAGGAAGGCGAGCUCGCCAGCCAGUACAAGUAG